GUAAUGGCCUACCAAGGCGACGAUGGGUAGCCGGCCUGAGAGGGUGUCCGGCCACACUGGGACUGAGAGACGGCCCAGACUCCUACGGGAGGCAGCAGUCGAGAAGCUUCGGCAAUGGGCGAAAGCCUGACCGAGCGACGCCGCGUGAGCGAUGAAGGUCCUAUGGAUUGUAAAGCUCUGUCAGAUUGGGAAGAAAACUUCGCGAUUAAUACCCGCGAAGCUUGACGGUACCAUCAGAGGAAGCACCGGCUAACUCCGUGCCAGCAGCCGCGGUAAUACGGAGGGUGCGAGCGUUGUUCGGAUUCACUGGGUAUAAAGGGUGCGUAGGCGGCCUCGUAAGUCAGGGGGUGAAAUAUGACGGCUCAACCGUCAAACUGCCCCUGAAACUGCAAGGCUUGAGUCCGGGAGAGGAAGGUGGAAUUCCUGGUGUAGCGGUGAAAUGCGUAAAUAUCAGGAGGAACACCGGUGGCGAAGGCGGCCUUCUGGUCCGGUACUGACGCUGAGGCACGAAAGCUAGGGGAGCGAACAGGAUUAGAUACCCUGGUAGUCCUAGCCGUAAACGAUGGGCACUAGGUGUCGGAGGAGUCUACCCCUUCGGUGCCGCAGCUAACGCAUUAAGUGCCCCACCUGGGGAGUACGAUCGCAAGGUUGAAACUCAAAGGAAUUGACGGGGGCCCGCACAAGCGGUGGAGCAUGUGGUUUAAUUCGACGCAACGUGCAGAACCUUACCUGGGUUUGACAUCAUACCGCGAUGCCCUGCGAGGGGCAGUGCCUUCGGGCCGGUAUGACAGGUGCUGCAUGGCUGUCGUCAGCUCGUGUCGUGAGAUGUUGGGUUAAGUCCCGCAACGAGCGCAACCCCUGCCCCUCGUUACCAGCAGGUGAGGCUGGGGACUCGAGGGGGACUGCCGGUGUCAAGCCGGAGGAAGGUGGGGAUGACGUCAAGUCCUCAUGGCCCUUACGCCCAGGGCUACACACGUGCUACAAUGGGGUGGACAACGGGGAGCGACCCUGCGAGG
rnacentral:rRNA from 1 species